AUGUACCACUCGUACACUGCGGUUCCUAGGCUCCUUCCGCGCCCACCUGACGGCUGUUCGCUAUGUUUUGUCAGCC
rnacentral:sRNA from 16 species